rnacentral:siRNA from 1 species
UGGUCUAGUGGUAGAAUA